rnacentral:rRNA from 1 species
UAGGGAAUCUUCCACAAUGGACGCAAGUCUGAUGGAGCAACGCCGCGUGAGUGAAGAAGGUUUUCGGAUCGUAAAGCUCUGUUGUUGGUGAAGAAGGACAGAGGCAGUAACUGGUCUUUAUUUGACGGUAAUCAACCAGAAAGUCACGGCUAACUACGUGCCAGCAGCCGCGGUAAUACGUAGGUGGCAAGCGUUGUCCGGAUUUAUUGGGCGUAAAGCGAGCGCAGGCGGAAUGAUAAGUCUGAUGUGAAAGCCCACGGCUCAACCGUGGAACUGCAUCGGAAACUGUCAUUCUUGAGUGCAGAAGAGGAGAGUGGAAUUCCAUGUGUAGCGGUGGAAUGCGUAGAUAUAUGGAAGAACACCAGUGGCGAAGGCGGCUCUCUGGUCUGCAACUGACGCUGAGGCUCGAAAGCAUGGGUAGCGAACAGG